GACAGAGGGUGCAAACGUUGCUCGGAAUUACUGGGCGUAAAGCGCGUGUAGGUGGAUUGGUGUGUCAGAUGUGAAAGCCCUGGGCUCAACCCAGGAACUGCACCUGAAACUACCAGUCUUGAGUGGUGGAGAGGGAAGUGGAAUUCCUGGUGUAGAGGUGAGAUUCGUAGAUAUCAGGAGGAACACCAGUGGCGAAGGCGGCUUCCUGGACACCAACUGACGCUGAGACGCGAAAGCGUGGGGAGCAAACAGG
rnacentral:rRNA from 1 species